GAUUAACGCUAGCGGCAGGCCUAAUACAUGCAAGUCGAACGGCAGCACGGGUAGCAAUACCUGGUGGCGAGUGGCGCACGGGUGCGUAACACGUAUGCAAUCUACCUUUAACUGGGGAAUAACCCCUCGAAAGAGGGGCUAAUACCGCAUAACACUUCGAUGGGACAUCCCAAUGAAGUCAAACGUUACGGGGGUUAAAGAUGAGCAUGCGUCCGAUUAGCUAGUUGGCGGGGUAACGGCCCACCAAGGCAACGAUCGGUAGGGGAUCUGAGAGGAUGACUCCCCCACACUGGUACUGAGACACGGACCAGACUCCUACGGGAGGCAGCAGUAAGGAAUAUUGG
rnacentral:rRNA from 1 species